GCCGCCACGAGUGAGUGGUUCAGCUUGGCCCCGGCUCGUUGUGCUCGCCUCACACCGGCCGGAGUUGGCAGCAGCGCUGGAGGCCCCGGGCCGGUGACCACAAAGAGGGAGCCGGGGGCCGGACGGGAGCGCGGCGGCGGCGGCGGCGGUGGCGGCGGCGGCGGCGGCGCCGGCUGAGGCCCAGGCCAGGCCCCCUCCCCUCAGCCUCCCGCCGGCCCGCCCGCCUGCCCCGCCCCCGCCGGCGGCGCCCCGCCCCUCCCCUAACCGCCAGACUAGCCUGGUGCGGGGCCGCGCGCGAAGACAUGGGGGAGAAGCUGAGGCUGGAGUCGCCCGUGGGGGCCGAGCCCGCCGUCUACCCGUGGCCGCUGCCGGUCUACGUUGUGACAGAAAUAAAGUUUCCAGAAGUUGUGUUCCUGCAAUAAGAAAUAAAGAUGUGACCUUCCAGUUGUGUAAAGCUCAUGAAUGCUGUGUAAGUGCGUCGGGUGCAAUAAGGAACCUGGAGCUAAAUGGGCUAGUUCUGAGAGAGAGAGACUUAACUAUGUUAACAAAGGAAAUCCAUCUCCGUCCUUUGCGGGGGCAGUCCCGAGCUCAUGUUUUAACGGACGCGAAUGCAAACCGUGGUUCUCACGUGACUUUCUGAAGAGCCCCCGCAGCAGGCCCAGGUACCUUGAGUGGACUAAGUCUCACUUUAUGGCAGUGGCAUCAGAUGGCGGCUACAGAAGGUUGCCGACGUCCCUGUGUGCUCUGACAGGCUCUGCAGACCGGGGGACGAAAGGACCAAGGAACUCUGACCGCCCUCGGGAAUCCCAAGUGACUGGAGGGACACCGCGUCAGGGCCCCAGGCAGUGUCGCCCACUGUUCCGGAGGCGGGCGGAGGCUCCGCAGCUUCAUUUCGUCCCGUCCCUUCCAGUAUUUAAAAUUAUUGUCAAGAUGCUGGGUUAACUCAGGCAGGUCUACAAAGGCGUCCCAAGCAGCAAACAUGUCUGUGAUGAACAAUGAAAGAGAUUUGGGAUUUGGGGAUGCUGCAGGUAUUUCUGUCAAAAACUGGCAUCACCACAGGCAAGUCCUGUCGCUUCUCUUCAUCAGUCUGAGAAAAACAUUCGUCUGAGAUACGUGCGGCCCACUCAAUGCACUGCUCCAGGGGUCGGCAGGGAUUGGACACAUCAGCACACUUAAUCAGUCAGGCCCCCGUCUCCUCAGUGGGAGGUGACUGGAUGGUACCGGCUUCCUGACGUUGACUCCCUGCUCGGGGCAGAUGGCAGGCGCUGGAGCAGCAGGGUGGUCCCGGUCAGAUGUGGCAGCCUCCCAGGAGGGCAAAACCAGCGGGUGACAGCCCACCGGGGCCCCACGGCGGGGCGGGCGGCGGGGCCGGCGGCGGUGGCGGAGACAGGUACGAAAUUUGCAUAGUAAAUUGCCCAUGUAGGACCGGUUGUGCGCCAAGCGAUCCGAGAACAGAGUGAAACUGGGAGAGCUUCUCCUUAGCUUCACCUCCUCUCAAGGUCUAGCACGCACUGGACACUGGAUGGCUCAGCCUGGCGCUUGUGACAUGUCCAUUGUACUCGUCACAGAGAAAGGGCGGGCGGGGCAGGGCGGGGGGCGCAUGCAAGCCCAGCCCCUGGAGAAACCCCGGCCCAAAGGCAAAGGGCGGGGCCCCAGAGCCCGACCCCUUCUGGACUUUCUAGUGGCUGGGACUUCUCGCUGUGGGUGGCAGGUGUUUGGCACCGGAUGGACCACCAUGCGGAGACUGUUGGGGACUGUGGAAGCCUUCUCCUCCAGAGCUCACCCUGCCUGGGCACCGGCUCUGCAGGCCCCUCAGCCCUGCGUAUGUAUCGGCCAGCCCUUCCCCCCCAAGGGGCCCAGGGACCAGAGCCUGUUCAGAGCUGAGUGCAGGAGGCACCCAGAGCUUGCCAGGCUGUGGCCCGCCUCCUCCAGGGACCUCCCCAGCUUCUCUGCGAGGCCUGAUGACGGGAGCACCUUCUCCAGGGCUGCUCAGCUGCCAGCAUCACCAUGAGCCAGGUGGCGAAGGUUUCUGAGCAGGGGAUGCAGAGCCCUGACCCGCCUGGGUGCUGCAGCCCACGAUGUCCCUUCCUGGCAGAUAGGUUCUUUCUUCACUUCCUUUUCGAAAUUUGGUAAAACAACAUUUAAACCUUCGACUGUUCUUCAGGGUAUACAGAUGGUAGUGGCUUAGCCGGGAUUCGAAGCAAGGCUGUGUGAUUCCAGAGCUCGUGCUCUGGACUGUGGCGCCUCCUUAUCAUAUAUGCUUCAUGUGUUACUUUUGUUUUUUUUUCUUGUGGCCCUUAUGGUACUUAGCCCUAAGUGCCAUACGUGUGAUGAACACAUACACUGCCCUGUAGGAGGUCUUCUUUUGUUCAACGCAUGAAUUGGUCAUCCACCACACGGGGUUCUAGUCUCAGAAGAUACAGGUCAGGGAGCACCAGCUGUCAGCAUAGCAGCGCCCCACAUUUCUAAUUGAGGCUUGCAGCCCAGAUUUUCCCUUUGGUCUAGUGUGAAGGAUCCAGAUAUGUAAAGCUUAUAUUCUAGACAAAUCAUGGGCUAUCCGGAAAGAAAUUCACCAGUAAAUUAUUCCAGUUUCUCUGGCCUUCCUGGAGUAUAUCCAGUAAGGCAUCUCAUUCAUGUCUGGCAAGCAAAUAUAUCAUUUAUUGCAACUUCAUCGUGGAGUGAUGUAUUGGUUUAAAGUACGAUCAACACAAUUUGGUCAUUGUGAGUAUGCCAGCUGGGUCCACUGUUUACUACACAUAUGUAACUCUAGCGAUUCUUAUGCCCAAGAGAGGAGACAUACUCUUGGGUGUCUAGGGCAAGGGAAACAUGUGUUGUUAUUCAGGAGCUGGAAGCUUCAGCAUGACAGGAAAGAAUUGAAAAAUCCUGGUCUACACAUGACUUUACCUUGUUUGAAACUUGUUUUUUUGGCUUGCUUCAUUGGAGUGUUUUCUCUCUCCUGGGGCUGACAUUGUGUGUUAUGUAUCACGCAUGUGACAUGUAGAAGUUUCAGAACCCAGAGUCAUAUAGAUCAAUAAAAAUGUAUUUAUAUAUUUUAGUUUAAAAUCUAUUGAAAAUAACACUGGGCAUAAUUCAUAUAUUCCAAAAUUAGUUUGACCCUCUGCCCAUGAGAUUCUUUUUAUGAUAUGUGACAGCUAAUUUGGACUUCCAUCCCCAAUAAACUUUGAGGUUUGAGGACACAAAAGGUUUUGCUCAGACCUAAAUUCUGUCUGAAAAAAAGGGCUAAAUAUUAUAAGCCCUUUCUAACCUCUCCAGGAGCAGAAAUGAUUUACAGCUGUGGCAUUGAACCAUAGUUCCUUGAUCUCAUUUGAGAAGAGUUCUGUAAGAAACGAUGUCUUGAUUUUUGUUUGUUUUGUUUGUUCCCUGUUUUCUUGUCUUACUUACCAACAAUCCAUUGUAAUUCAUCAGUUAGUAUGGCAGCAGGCUGGGUGUUCCCUGGAGCUCAUUAAAUGAACUUUUGUUCCUAAAAUGAUGUUUGUCUCCUUGUUUUCAGCCCCUCUUCUUUCCUCUGCCCUUUACUAUAACCAGAGCUCAGCAAAAGCUGACUGGCUUUGUGCAGACCCUACUUAGGGUAGUCUUUUCUUAAUUAUUUUAUUCAUGGCUCCUCCAUUUCAUUGUUUGCCUUCUCAAAAUGUGUUGAAAUCUUUCUGUGGUUGAUGACUUCCACAAUGUCUUGGCUUUUAUUAGUUGCUUAAUUUUGGUAUUUCUACAGUUUUAUUUAAAUAUGGUUUCAGGAGGAACAGAAAGUAAAUGUUUCCUAGUCUGCCAUCUUGAGCUGAAAACCCCUGUUGAUUUUAGCAUCCAGUGUUCCCAUGGGAAAACACCCAACCCUGGCAUUAAUAGAUGUAACACUCAAGAUUUCAGCUUUUCUUGAGCAAUCACUAAGGAUUUAAUAUGUGGUCAUUUCUAAUGGGACAAUAAUAACUGUCUCAUGGAGUUGAUUUGAGGAUUAAAUUAGAUAAUGAACAUGA